rnacentral:rRNA from 1 species
AGCGAACGCUGGCGGCAGGCCUAACACAUGCAAGUCGAACGAAGUCUUCGGACUUAGUGGCGGACGGGUGAGUAACACGUGGGAACGUGCCUUUAGGUUCGGAAUAACUCAGGGAAACUUGUGCUAAUACCGAAUGUGCCCUUCGGGGGAAAGAUUUGUCGCCUUUAGAGCGGCCCGCGUCUGAUUAGCUAGUUGGUGAGGUAAUGGCUCACCAAGGCUACGAUCAGUAGCUGGUCUGAGAGGAUGACCAGCCACAUUGGGACUGAGACACGGCCCAAACUCCUACGGGAGGCAGCAGUGGGGAAUCUUGCGCAAUGGGCGAAAGCCUGACGCAGCCAUGCCGCGUGAAUGAUGAAGGUCUUAGGAUUGUAAAAUUCUUUCACCGGGGACGAUAAUGACGGUACCCGGAGAAGAAGCCCCGGCUAACUUCGUGCCAGCCGCCGCCGUAAUAC